GACCUCCCUCUACCCCAGGCCUUGUUACCAAUGGUACUGAUGGAACUCCCUCUACCCCAGGCCUUGUUACCAAUGGUACUGAUUGACAUUCCUCUAUCCUAGGCCUUGUUAUCAAGGCUACUGAUGGACCUCCCUCUACCCCAGGCCUUGUUACCAAGGCUACUGAUGGACCUCCCUCUACCCCAGGUCUUGUUACCAAGGCUACUGAUGGACCUCCCUCUACCCCAGGUCUUGUUACCAAGGCUACUGAUGGACCUCCCUCUAAUGUCUAUUUCAGGAGUGUUUACUGUCUCCAGUUUGUUUAAUAAAAUGUUGAACUUAAACUUUUGGUAGUUGAAUGUAUUUUGUACAUGAUCAAUUCAUUUUACACAUCAGAUUAUGGAUAUACCUCAAAUGUUAUUCUACAAGAUCCAGACACAAAACUUCUGGAUCAAUCGUUAAACUACAUGGUUUACUAUGUGUGAUGAUGGAUACUGUAUACCUCUGUGUGCUGUGUAGGUCUACUAUGAUGGAUACUGUAUACCUCUGUGUGCUGUGUAGUUCUACUGUGAUGGAUACUGUACCUCUGUGUGCUGUGUAGGUCUACUAUGAUGGAUACUGUAUACCUCUGUGUGCUGUGUAGGUCUACUAUGAUGGAUACUGUAUACCUCUGUGUGCUGUGUAGGUCUACUAUAAUGGAUACUGUAUACCUCUGUGUGCUGUGUAGGUCUACUAUGAUGGGUACUGUAUACCUCUGUGUGCUGUGUAGGUCUACUAUAAUGGAUACUGUAUACCUCUGUGUGCUGUGUAGGUCUACUAUGAUGGGUACUGUAUAGCUCUGUGUGCUGUGUAGGUCUACUAUGAUGGAUACUAUGAUUGACAAAGCAAAAGAACAUAACAUCAUGUUAGAAAUAGUCUUUAUAGAAUGUGGUUUGUAUAUUUUGUAGCCAUUGUAGCCUAACUAUUCAUAACAAUGUUUUAAAUGCAGCUAUGCUGCAUGAUGUCAACUACACAGAGGAAAUGUUAAAUAAAAUACAGCAAACAUUUAUUUAUCUUUUGUUCAAAUGCACACAGUCAUGGUGCUACUAUGUAGUGAAGACGUGGCUGUAGAUGAAGGCAGACCCCCACGCCUCUCUGAUUCAGAGGGUUAAAAAUGGAAGACACAUUUCAAUACAUUCACUUGGACAACUGACUAGGUAUCCCCCUUUCCCUUUUCCCUUUAGUUCAUAUUGUACUUGACUUGGUGAUGGAAGAGGGAAACAUGACACAUCCCUUUUAUAUGCAUUACAUUCCCAUGCAACUCUACACUAGUGUCAUGACUUCCGCCGAGGUCGGUCCCUCUCCAUGUUCGGGUGGCGUUUGGCGGUCGACGUCACCGGUCUUCUAGCCAUCGCCGAUCCACCUUUCAUUUUCCAUGAGUUUUUUUCUUGUUUUCCCGCACACCUGGUUUGCAUUCCCUCAUUACUCGUCUUGCAUAUAACCCUCUGUUUCCCCCCAUGUCUGUGUGUGGAAUUGUUAUGUGUAAAUGUAUGUGUACUCCAGGGUGGUUUGCGCCAGGUUAUUGUAACCCGUGUGUGGUUAGUUUUCUGAGUGCUGUGUUUUGUUCGCCUCAAUAAAG
rnacentral:lncRNA from 1 species